AGAGUUUGAUCCUGGCUCAGAUUGAACGCUGGCGGCAGGCCUAACACAUGCAAGUCGAGCGGAUGAAGAGAGUUUGCUCUCUGAUUCAGCGGCGGACGGGUGAGUAAUGCCUAGGAAUCUGCCUAUUAGUGGGGGACAACGUUUCGAAAGGAACGCUAAUACCGCAUACGUCCUACGGGAGAAAGCAGGGGACCUUCGGGCCUUGCGCUAAUAGAUGAGCCUAGGUCGGAUUAGCUAGUUGGUGAGGUAAAGGCUCACCAAGGCGACGAUCCGUAACUGGUCUGAGAGGAUGAUCAGUCACACUGGAACUGAGACACGGUCCAGACUCCUACGGGAGGCAGCAGUGGGGAAUAUUGGACAAUGGGCGAAAGCCUGAUCCAGCCAUGCCGCGUGUAUGAAGAAGGUCUUCGGAUUGUAAAGCACUUUAAGUUGGGAGGAAGG
rnacentral:rRNA from 1 species